AUUGAACGCUGGCGGCAUGCCUAACACAUGCAAGUCGAACGAGUGGCGGACGGGUGAGUAAUGUCUGGGAAACUGCUCGAUGGAGGGGGAUAACUACUGGAAACGGUAGCUAAUACCGCAUACCAUCGGAUGUGCCCAGAUGGGAUUAGCUAGUAGGUGGGGUAACGGCUCACCUAGGCGACGAUCCCUCGCUGUUCGGAGAGGGUGACCGGCAACACUGGAAUGGGGACACGGUCCAGACUCCUACGGGAGGCAGCAGUGGGGAAUAUUGCACAAUGGGCGAAAGCCUAAUGCAGCAAUGCCGCGUGUAUGAGGAAGGCCUUCGGGUUGUAAAGUACGUUCAGCGAGGAGGCGGUACUCGAAGAGGAAGCACCGGCUAACUCCGUGCCAGCAGCCGCGGUAAUAC
rnacentral:rRNA from 1 species